rnacentral:tRNA from 1 species
GGGUCGGUGGUCUAGCUUGGAAUGAUUCGUGGUUCGGAUCCACGGGAUCGGGCGUUCAAAUCGCCUCCGGCCCACCA